AAUUCAGGUUCCAUCUUUACUGCUGAAAGAGAAUCAAAAAGAAUGAGAGGCUUUGCUGUUCUGUGCUCUGGGUCUCUCCCUCUCCCAGGCCCUGAGCUGGGCAAGGAAGUAGGGAGGGCCUAUUAUACUAUAUAUACAUAUGCAUGCUUUUACACACACAUACACACACACACGUGUAUGUUUAUAGAUACACAUAUAAAUACAUAAAUCUCUUCUUUUGGUUGAAAAAGUAUAGCUGAUUGGGUGAGAGUAACAGUUCUAGAAUUAUUCAAAUCUUAGCUCAAACACAGCUUCAUACCCACAGAUUUAUAUUCCAGCUGUACUAUGUGUCCUUGGGUGAGUUAUCUAAACUCUUACCCUCAGUUUGUUCAUCUGUAACAUGGUGAUAUGAGGAAGUUACUAUGAAAAUUAAAUAAAUCAAUUCAUGUAAAAUAUCUAGAAAACGUGCUUGAUCCCUGACAGCUAUCUGAGAAACUGGCUCCUAUUUUCACUAUUACUUACUGACUAAUCUUGGAGAAGGAAACUGUUAGUGAUAACUCACCAUAAAGCUUUGAACUAGAUGACUUGUGAGGUUCUAUACUCCUCUAAAUACCAUGGGCACAGGUCUCUCAUAAGGCCUUAUUUUCUUCUCUACUUUUGACUAACAAUGAGUAAAAGCUCUGAUUAGAAAUUGGACUGAUUAUUCAGUGUCUUAACACUUUAAAGAGAAAGAUUGAGGGCUCACAGAAGAUAGACCAGUGAUCUGAGUCAUGUGGCAAAGAGCAUAUACAGCAGGGUUGGGGUUAGGUAUACUGUAGCAUUAUUAGCACAGUUCACAAACUCUUCUUCCUUUGGGACACUGGGGGCCCCAGAAGGGAAUACAAUUCACCUCCAAGAGUGAGUGACUAAGUGGACAAAUAAACAAGGAAGAAAAAAGUGAAGACACUGAAACAAAAACAUUGGCUUAUUCGACUUGUAAAAUAAUUUGCCAGAGGGUGGCUGAUGCCUUCACGAAGCCUUACACUUGCAUGAACUCCAGGUUGCUGUUGGGAGGAGCAUGUUCAUCUUUUGACUGCUUGGGAGAGAUAAGGGGCAAGGGCUUCAAAUCAGCCUAGAGUUUAAGACUGAACUAUUUUAAACAUGGGUGCAAAGAACGGUAGCUGUCUUGAAUAUGCAGGAUGUCUUGACUGAUCACUAUCUGUAGGGCAGACUUUCAAUCCUUUUAAUCCCUUUGAAAUGGACUCCACAAGCACUACUGGGUAGUGGAUCCAAGACGGUUCGUGAUCCUAGAGAAGUUUCAUCUGUAAAAUGUCAGCAAUAUCUGCCCUACUUAACUCACAGGGUGUCUGUCAGACUCAUAGAAGACAAGUGAAUGCUCGGGGACCUGACCAGUUGUAAUGGCACAAAUGAGAAAAUGCUUCCCAUUCUCUUUCUUUUUCUCUCUCACUCACGUAUGCCCCGAUAUCUGCAGUCAGGUAUUUGUGGCAUGAAUAGCUUGGUUAGGAGUAGAGUGGGUAGUCAUGAGCAGGGUGUGGAAGUUAAAAUGGCACCUUUGCCAAUUCCAGCCAAGCCUAUGGCCAGUAGCCAGGCCUGGUCUCUUCUACUUGACACUGGCCUGCUGAUGAGAGUCACAAGACCCCCUUGCUUUGUAAACAUCAUCCAAAAUUAUUCUAUCAGUUGAAAUCACCAUCUGCUGGGGGCUUCUCUCAUGGGAACUUCUGCUCAGAGAGGGAAUUGCUGUGAGUCAGCAGAAAUGACUAAGAGAUUCUGGAGAGAAGACACUGCCAGUUCAUGACCUCUUAAGUAAAUAAAUACAUCAGUUAAACGGCUCUUGUCUGCUCUCUAUGACUUUCAGAACAACUUCUCCCAGUUGUCUGACAUUAAGAGUAAUAGAACACUUGGGAGAAGUAUCAACAUAAUUAACAAACUUAGAUAUAACGAUCCUCAUACUUUUAAUAAAACAUAACCAAUAAAUGUCUACCACUUUGUAAGUUCACACUGGAAACACACCUGAUAUAAAUAAUGAGUCAGAACAGUGGUUUCCCUAUUAAAAGUCAGCAGGUUUUACUAUUAAAAGUCAGUAAAGAAAACAUGAAAACUUACAGGCUGAAAGAAUAAUUAAGGACGGUCACUAUAGAUUUUAAGCAUUAUUAGUCCUCAAAGCAUCUGACUGGCUGAUCAUGAAGACGAAUUUAUUCUACUUGUCCUUGAUUAAAUCUCAUGGCAAGAUCAACUUGGGAGCCAUAGUGCUCAACAAUGGGCAUGGCAGAAUGACGGCUGGUAAGUGCAGAGCCCUAAUUCAUUACGGAAUCCGUUAGUCUGCAUGGAUACAUGUGGGAUGAUGACUACUGAAGCCACUAUUUAGCCUUGUAUCUAGGAGUUCCUUGCCAUCUGUAAACCCUAACCCCUCCCUUCAGGCAGUUUUUUAACCUAAGGUGGUUACCUAUUUUUGUUGGCUGUCCUACAUCACGGACCCCUUGAUAGAAUUCAACUGUUCUUUGAGAACAUUCAGUCUUCCCCUGCCCAAGUGGUCAAUGUGACCCCACCUUAGCUUCAGAGAUGAGCAUGUGACUCUGCUUGGCCAAUGAGAAUAUCAUAUCUCUCUAACCAUAGUGAUUGGUUCAGGAAUGAACAUGUGACCCACAGCUGACCAAUCAGAGCUACUGAGACUCAACGGUUUCAAUUGGAACCAUUGAAAAAGAGGAACUCUCUUUUGGCUAGGGUUUCUAUGAGGGUGGAAUGGGGAACCUGGACAGCUGCAGCCAUCUUACUGCAGAAGGUUUGGUCAAAGUUUGCAUCCCACACGACUGAACAGAAUGGACAUUGCUCUCAGCAAGGGACAGUAACCAUGAGUCCAGGUCCUAAGCAGAGGUAGGGCCCACUUCCUCCCUUCUCACUGGUUUCCUUCCUCCUGAGUGGGGUCUAUCUGAGCCUGGCAUUUCCUUCGUGGCAGUUUCAUUUGCUCCUGGCAGGUUCCCUUGCUCACCAUCAGCCCUCAGUUUGUCCAGCUAAUGUUAGGAACCUGUAAAGUGGAACUCUACGGUAUUCAACUUUCUUUCUCAUUAGCACGCUGUUUUUCUGUGCUGGGUGAUGCAGGCUGAAUGCAAAGCGGCGAGAUGUGCUGGUUUGAAUUCCACCGCCUUCCUUCAUCAGCCUGAGUGUUUGUGUACACACAGCUGGGCUGCAAUGUCGGUUUCUGUCUGAUGGCUCAGAGCCACAAUUUUACCCUGUUAUUGAUGUCCAUUAUGUCAUUUUAGAAAAUGUAGGGAUGCGGCUGUUCAACUUAUCCAAAUAUCUGUAUAUAAAUAAAUAAAUGUACAUUUAACUCUA